GGGCGUAAAGAGCUCGUAGGUGGUUUGUCGCGUUGUUCGUGAAAUCUCACGGCUUAACUGUGAGCGUGCGGGCGAUACGGGCAGACUUGAGUACUGCAGGGGAGACUGGAAUUCCUGGUGUAGCGGUGGAAUGCGCAGAUAUCAGGAGGAACACCGGUGGCGAAGGCGGGUCUCUGGGCAGUAACUGACGCUGAGGAGCGAAAGCGUGGGGAGCGAACAGGAUUAGAUACCCUGGUAGUCCACGCCGUAAACGGUGGGUACUAGGUGUGGGUUUCCUUCCUUGGGAUCCGUGCCGUAGCUAACGCAUUAAGUACCCCGCCUGGGGAGUACGGCCGCAAGGCUAAAACUCAAAGAAAUUGACGGGGGCCCGCACAAGCGGCGGAGCAUGUGGAUUAAUUCGAUGCAACGCGAAGAACCUUACCUGGGUUUGACAUGCACAGGACGCCGGCAGAGAUGUCGGUUCCCUUGUGGCCUGUGUGCAGGUGGUGCAUGGCUGUCGUCAGCUCGUGUCGUGAGAUGUUGGGUUAAGUCCCGCAACGAGCGCAACCCUUGUCUCAUGUUGCCAGCGGGUAAUGCCGGGGACUCGUGAGAGACUGCCGGGGUCAACUCGGAGGAAGGUGGGGAUGACGUCAAGUCAUCAUGCCCCUUAUGUCCAGGGCUUCACACAUGCUACAAUGGCCGGUACAAAGGGCUGCGAUGCCGCGAGGUUAAGCGAAUCCUUUUAAAGCCGGUCUCAGUUCGGAUC
rnacentral:rRNA from 1 species